AUUGAACGCUGGCGGCAGGCCUAACACAUGCAAGUCGAACGAGUGGCGGACGAGUGAGUAAUGUCUGGGAAACUGCCUGAUGGAGGGGGAUAACUACUGGAAACGGUAGCUAAUACAGCAUACCAUCGGAUGUGCCCAGAUGGGAUUAGCUAGUGGGUGGGGUAACGGCUCACCUAGGCGACGAUCCCUAGCUGGGCUGAGAGGAUGACCAGCGACACUGGAACGGAGACACGGUCCGGACGCCGACGUGAGGCAGCAGUGGGGAAUAGUGCACAAUGGGCGCAAGGCUGAUGCAGACAUGCCGCGUGGAUGAAGAAGGCCUUCGGGUGGUAAAGGACUUUCAGCGGGGAGGCGUUACCCGCAGAAGAAGCACCGGCGAACUCCGUGCCAGCAGCCGCGGUAAUUC
rnacentral:rRNA from 1 species